rnacentral:rRNA from 1 species
GACGAACGCUGGCGGCGUGCCUAAUACAUGCGAGUCGAGCGGACAGAAGGGAGCUUGCUCCCGGAAGUUAGCGGCGGACGGGUGAGUAACACGUGGGCAACCUACCCUGUAGAUCGGGAUAACAUCGAGAAAUCGGUGCUAAUACCGGAUAAUCAUUUGAAGUGCAUGCUUCGAAUGUAAAAGAUGGCUCCGGCUAUCACUACGGGAUGGGCCCGCGGCGCAUUAGCUAGUUGGUAAGGUAAUGGCUUACCAAGGCAACGAUGCGUAGCCGACCUGAGAGGGUGAGCGGCCACACUGGGACUGAGACACGGCCCAGACUCCUACGGGAGGCAGCAGUAGGGAAUCUUCCGCAAUGGACGAAAGUCUGACGGAGCAACGCCGCGUGAGUGAUGAAGGUUUUCGGAUCGUAAAGCUCUGUUGUUAGGGAAGAACAAGUGCCGUUUGAAUAAGGCGGCACCUUGACGGUACCUAACCAGAAAGCCACGGCUAACUACGUGCCAGCAGCCGCCGUAAUAC